UUGCCUUAAACUAAUGAGUAAGGAAAACAAAGCGAUCGGUGAGAGCCGGUCGUGCGCUAACUCAAUAAAAUUUGUUGCGCAAGAAUUUAUGGAGGGGUUAUAGGCUGGCCGAGUUGUUGACGCUGCUUACUUUUGCAGAACUCUCUCGUGCGGGCCUCCC